UACGAAGGGGGCUAGCGUUGCUCGGAAUCACUGGGCGUAAAGGGUGCGUAGGCGGGUCUUUAAGUCAGGGGUGAAAUCCUGGAGCUUAACUCCAGAACUGCCUUUGAUACUGAGGAUCUUGAGUUCGGGAGAGGUGAGUGGAACUGCGAGUGUAGAGGUGAAAUUCGUAGAUAUUCGCAAGAACACCAGUGGCGAAGGCGGCUCACUGGCCCGAUACUGACGCUGAGGCACGAAAGCGUGGGGAGCAAACAGG
rnacentral:rRNA from 1 species